rnacentral:lncRNA from 1 species
CUUCCUCAUAUCAGGUCCACACUGCCUGCAUCCCCCACUGGGCCUCCCCACCAGGUGAGGGGCAUCCGAUUCAAAUUAUUUGCAGCAGCAAAAGAGAAUGGGCUGGCUAAAAAUCAGUGGUAGAUUUUGCUUAUUGUAUGAAGACUGGAGUGUUCUUGGUGAAGGACAUCUUUGCCAGCAGGACUUCUCCUCUUGCUCUGGCUGAUAUUCAUAUUUGUCUUGUUUCUGGAAGGCCUGGCUCCUUUGUUUUAUUUUGUUUUCUCAAUCACUAUUUUACAAUGAUUGAAAGCCACACACCUGACAUGAAAGCCCUGACAAGCCCCGAUAAAAGGGAGGUGAAAGGACACAGUAGCCAUGUUUCAGGAGCCAGGCUUUUUCAGCUGGAAGGAAGAAGUUGAAGGAUUGGCUCCACAGGCCUGUGGCUCUGUAGCCAGACAAGCAGUCAGAGGGAAAGCGUGCCAAGGGCUGAAUGCACAGACCCAUGUCCCUGAGCAUCGCUUUUCUUCCUGAAAACAGCAGAAUGCCAGAACCAGAAGAUGCCUUUGAGAUCAGACCGCAACUCUUCUUCUACCAAGGAUGGUCCUUCAGGAGAAGCAAGCACAGGGAGCACCGUGGAUAUUCGGAAGGGGAAGCUGUAUGUGGCAAUCAGAGAAGGCUUCACAGAGGAGUCCUGGGCCAUGACGACUUCGAGGGCUCUGUCUCCUUGAGACUUAUGAGAUCUUAUGCUUGGGUGUUUCCAGCUGGCUGCAAAGGCCAAUUUUACUGUCCUGGCUCCUCCUCGCAUCCUGAGGGGCUUGAUGGUCAAACUUUGUAUUGACUUUCUCUGCUAAUGGGAGAUCGUGCCUUUUAUCAAAAAGUGAAAGUAAAAAGGAACAAUCUUUAACAUUCGAUGUUCCUAAUGACCUUCGUUUUGAGGACCUUCAUGAGAACAGCGCUGAUGGAGCCUUGUCUUGGGGCACACAUCUCACUUCUCAGCAUACCUCUUUAUUAAUAUUAUGUAGCUUUUCUUUGUAGUUGUUACUACGAUGGAGACUAGAAUCAGAUUCAG